UGGGUGCUGCAUUGGGUUUGCGAGUGACAUUUUUGGACGGUACGGGCACAGCACUCGGGAGCCGGCCUUCCCUAAGGGGUUCCCUGAGAGAUGGUCUGGGAGGUGGGAACUGUGGCGGGUUAUUGUCAAUGGGAGAUACAUCGGGGCUUUCACGAUGGCCGGUGGGAGCAAAAACAGGAGAAUCUGGAGGCGAUAUAUCGGUGUAUUGGCUGUCACGGAACUCCGACUGAUAGGGCCUGGGGUUCCUUCUCGAUGGAUGCACGUCAUGGUCGGCUAACGCCAUGUUGCCUGCAGCGUAGGAAUCC
rnacentral:sRNA from 1 species